rnacentral:rRNA from 1 species
GUGGGGAAUAUUGGACAAUGGGCGAAAGCCUGAUCCAGCCAUGCCGCGUGUGUGAAGAAGGUCUUCGGAUUGUAAAGCACUUUAAGUUGGGAGGAAGGGCAGUAAGUUAAUACCUUGCUGUUUUGACGUUACCAACAGAAUAAGCACCGACUAACUUCGUGCCAGCAGCCGCGGUAAUACGAAGGGUGCAAGCGUUAAUCGGAAUUACUGGGCGUAAAGCGCGCGUAGGUGGUUCAGCAAGUUGAAGGUGAAAUCCCCCGGCUCAACCUGGGAACUGCCUCCAAAACUACUGAGCUAGAGUACGGUAGAGAGUAGUGGAAUUUCCUGUGUAGCGGUGAAAUGCGUAGAUAUAGGAAGGAACACCAGUAGCGAAGGCGACUACCUGGACUGAUACUGACACUGAGGUGCGAAAGCGUGGGGAGCAAACAGGAUUAGAAACCCGGGUAGUCC